UAAUACCUUUAAGUUACCUGCAAACUGUUAGGAGGUCCUGUGAAUUUUAAAAGUCUCCAUCUUGGUCUAGCACCCAAAAAAAUCGUGCACACCCACACUAAACGGGCAUGUGCUAGUCAAUGACAAAUCAGAAAUAACUAACUGCCCACCUGGGCUGUCCUAAGCCAAGCUAGAGCCAACCAUUGGCAUUUGUGAGACACAGGAAGUGAGGUAGGGAACAGCCUCUGGAAUUCGCUCACUUCCUGUGUAGAGAGCUAGAGAGGAGUUGGUGUUAGGAGCUUGGAGAGGGAGGACGCCCGCAGACAGCUUUCCUUCAGAUUGGUCACCAUGAAAAUCAGGAAUUACAGAUAGAUCAACUGAAAUGAUGACCUUUAUUUCUCAAGUAACACAGACUAGAUGAAGAAGUUAUUGAAAAAGUCACAAUAAUAACACAGCAUUAAAUGGAAUACAAAAGCUACAUUAAAAAAGGAGACGUGCAGAUGGUCGAAAAAGGAUGCUUUGCAACAAUUUGUAAAAAAUAACACAAAACAAAACAAAACAAAACCCAAGCCUCAAGAAAAUGUAUUUUUAAAAAUCCAUUUUAGUAGCUGU
rnacentral:lncRNA from 1 species